UUAUUGAAAACAAACUUUGAC
rnacentral:piRNA from 1 species